rfam:Euryarchaeota archaeon TMED248 83786, whole genome shotgun sequence.
UUUCCUCACCACUGCUUUCAACCGAGACCUUAGUAGGCAGUAUAAUACUUCGUCUCUUUAUCCUGUAGCGAGGGGUUGCAGGAAAUAAAUAUCGCU